rnacentral:rRNA from 1 species
GAUGAACGCUGGCGGCGUGCCUAAUACAUGCAAGUCGAGCGAACGGACGAGAAGCUUGCUUCUCUGCUGUUAGCGGCGGACGGGUGAGUAACACGUGGAUAACCUACCUAUAAGACUGGGAUAACUUCGGGAAACCGGAGCUAAUACCGGAUCAUAUUUUGAACCGCAUGGUUCAAAAGUGAAAGACGGUCUUGCUGUCACUUAUAGAUGGAUCCGCGCUGCAUUAGCUAGUUGGUAAGGUAACGGCUUACCAAGGCAACGAUGCAUAGCCGACCUGAGAGGGUGAUCGGCCACACUGGAACUGAGACACGGUCCAGACUCCUACGGGAGGCAGCAGUAGGGAAUCUUCCGCAAUGGGCGAAAGCCUGACGGAGCAACGCCGCGUGAGUGAUGAAGGUCUUCGGAUCGUAAAACUCUGUUAUUAGGGAAGAACAUAUGUGUAAGUAACUGUGCACAUCUUGACGGUACCUAAUCAGAAAGCCACGGCUAACUACGUG